UGCACCACUGUGUUGUGUUUGUAACCUGGCCCACUCUGUUUUCUUCCCCUUUUCUUUGUUCUUUUCCUUUUCUCCUGUGAACACUCCAGAACUCUCUCUCUUUUCGAACUCUCUGCCUUCUCUCUAAACCACCAUAGCCAAAAAGAACUCCAAGCACCAUCACAACAAAUUCCAAUUUAAUUGAGACCCCAAACCACCAAAAUACAAGACAUGCGCAAGCUGGGGAUAACUAUGGUACCAUUGCAUGUUAAAUUUUGUAAUGGGAAGUAGGAUAAUCCAAGCAGGGGUUCUCGGUGAGAGUUGCUCUAAUGGAAUCAAGCUACAACCCUUGAAAAAAAGAGUGCGACUGCUUCCGGAGCUACAUGAGUUUUUGGGCACGGUGGGACAUUUCGCCAAACCGGCAGCUGAUCCAUGAAAUCCUUGAGGCUUUUGAGGAGAGGUUGGUGGAGAAGAAGAGGAGCAGAAACUCAUGUUCUUGAAUUUUGACAUGGAAGUCAGCCAAGAAGUAAAAAAUAGAUAUUUAUCAUAGGCAUUCAUCCCUAAGAUGCACAAUUUGAAAGAACUUUUGGUGUUUGGAAAAAUAGAUUGACAAUGAUUCUUCACACGCGUAGCUUCGCUUUUGAAAAACAGGUACAAACUGUUGUUCCUUCAAUGACUUUACACAAUUUUAUUUGGAA